UACGUAGGUGGCAAGCGUUUGUCCGGAAUUAUUGGGCGUAAAGAGCGUGUAGGCGGUUCGGUAAGUCUGCCGUGAAAACCUGGGGCUCAACCCCGGGCGUGCGGUGGAUACUGCCGGGCUAGAGGGUGGUAGAGGCGAGUGGAAUUCCCGGUGUAGCGGUGAAAUGCGCAGAUAUCGGGAGGAACACCAGUGGCGAAGGCGACUACCUGGCCUGUUCUUGACGCUGAGGCGCGAAAGCUAGGGGAGCAAACGGGG
rnacentral:rRNA from 1 species